AGGCGGUAGGCAUUGGUCUUAGGCAAAUCCGGGACCCUUUAUGCCGAGCACCGAGACGAGCCCUUUUGGGCGAAGUGACUGACACCACGCUUCCAGGAAAAGCCACUAAGCUUCAGCUGUAGAAAAACCGUACCGUAAACCGACACUGGUAGGCAGGGUGAGAAUCCCAAGGCGCUUGAGAGAACUCGGGUGAAGGAACUAGGCAAAAUGGCACCGUAACUUCGGGAGAAGGUGCGCCCUUUAGCGUGGUCACAUGCGUGACUGAGCGUUGAAGGGUCGCAGUAACCUGGCCGCUGCGACUGUUUAUCAAAAACACAGCACUCUGCAAACACGAAAGUGGACGUAUAGGGUGUGACGCCUGCCCGGUGCUGGAAGGUUAAUUGAUGGGGUCAGCCGCAAGGCGAAGCUCUUGAUCGAAGCCCCAGUAAACGGCGGCCGUAACAAUAACGGUCCUAAGGUAGCGAAAUUCCUUGUCGGGUAAGUUCCGACCUGCACGAAUGGCGUAACGACAGCGGCGCUGUCUCCACCCGAGACUCAAUGAAAUUGAAUUCGCUGUGAAGAUGCAGCGUUCCCGCGGCAUGACGGAAAGACCCCGUGAACCUUUACUAUAGCUUUACACUGAACGUUGAGUUCUUCUGUGUAGGAUAGGUGGGAGGCUUUGAAGCGCAGACGCUAGUUUGCGUGGAGCUAACCUUGAAAUACCACCCUGAAGUGCUUGACGUUCUAACCUAGGCCCGUAAUCCGGGUCAGGGACCGUGUAUGGUGGGUAGUUUGACUGGGGCGGUCUCCUCCCAAAGAGUAACGGAGGAGCACGAAGGUACGCUCAGCGCGGUCGGACAUCGCGCACUGUGUGCAAUGGCAUAAGCGUGCUUGACUGCGAGAUCGACGGAUCAAGCAGGUACGAAAGUAGGUCAUAGUGAUCCGGUGGUUCUGUAUGGAAGGGCCAUCGCUCAACGGAUAAAAGGUACUCCGGGGAUAACAGGCUGAUACCGCCCAAGAGUUCAUAUCGACGGCGGUGUUUGGCACCUCGAUGUCGGCUCAUCACAUCCUGGGGCUGUAGCCGGUCCCAAGGGUAUGGCUGUUCGCCAUUUAAAGUGGUACGCGAGCUGGGUUCAGAACGUCGUGAGACAGUUCGGUCCCUAUCUGUCGUGGGCGUUGGAGAUUUGAGGGGGGCUGCUCCUAGUACGAGAGGACCGGAGUGGACGUUCCGCUGGUGUUCGGGUUGUCAUGCCCAUGGCAUUGCCCGGUAGCUAUGAACGGAAGUGAUAACCGCUGAAAGCAUCUAAGCGGGGAGCACGCCCCAAGAUGAGAUCUCCCGAGAGCUAGACUCUCCUUAAGGCACCAUGAAGACUACGUGGUUGAUAGGUCAGGUGUGGAAGUGCAGCAAUGCAUUGAGCUAACUGAUACUAAUGAGCCGUGAGGCUUGACCAA
rnacentral:rRNA from 1 species